UACAGAGGAGCCAAGCGUUGUCCGGAUUGACUGGGCGUAAAGCGCACGCAGGCGGGGGUGCGCGUGGGGGGUGAAAUCUCAGAGCUCAACUCUGAAACUGCACUCGAUACUGCUUUGCUCGAGGACUGGAGAGGAGAUUGGAAUUCACGGUGUAGCAGUGAAAUGCGUAGAUAUCGUGAGGAAGACCAGUGGCGAAGGCGGAUCUCUGGACAGUUCCUGACGCUGAGGCGCGAAGGCCAGGGGAGCAAACGGG
rnacentral:rRNA from 1 species